rnacentral:rRNA from 1 species
CGUGCUAUACAUGCAGUCGACGCUUCUUUUUCCACCGGAGCUUGCUCCACCGGAAAAAGAGGAGUGGCGAACGGGUGAGUAACACGUGGGUAACCUGCCCAUCAGAAGGGGAUAACACUUGGAAACAGGUGCUAAUACCGUAUAACAAUCAAAACCGCAUGGUUUUGAUUUGAAAGGCGCUUUCGGGUGUCGCUGAUGGAUGGACCCGCGGUGCAUUAGCUAGUUGGUGAGGUAACGGCUCACCAAGGCCACGAUGCAUAGCCGACCUGAGAGGGUGAUCGGCCACAUUGGGACUGAGACACGGCCCAAACUCCUACGGGAGGCAGCAGUAGGGAAUCUUCGGCAAUGGACGAAAGUCUGACCGAGCAACGCCGCGUGAGUGAAGAAGGUUUUCGGAUCGUAAAACUCUGUUGUUAGAGAAGAACAAGGAUGAGAGUAACUGUUCAUCCCUUGACGGUAUCUAACCAGAAAGCCACGGCUAACUACGUGCCAGCAGCCGCGGUAAUACGUAGGUGGCAAGCGUUGUCCGGAUUUAUUGGGCGUAAAGCGAGCGCAGGCGGUUUCUUAAGUCUGAUGUGAAAGCCCCCGGCUCAACCGGGGAGGGUCAUUGGAAACUGGGAGACUUGAGUGCAGAAGAGGAGAGUGGAAUUCCAUGUGUAGCGGUGAAAUGCGUAGAUAUAUGGAGGAACACCAGUGGCGAAGGCGGCUCUCUGGUCUGUAACUGACGCUGAGGCUCGAAAGCGUGGGGAGCAAACAGGAUUAGAUACCCUGGUAGUCCACGCCGUAAACGAUGAGUGCUAAGUGUUGGAGGGUUUCCGCCCUUCAGUGCUGCAGCUAACGCAUUAAGCACUCCGCCUGGGGAGUACGACCGCAAGGUUGAAACUCAAAGGAAUUGACGGGGGCCCGCACAAGCGGUGGAGCAUGUGGUUUAAUUCGAAGCAACGCGAAGAACCUUACCAGGUCUUGACAUCCUUUGACCACUCUAGAGAUAGAGCUUCCCCUUCGGGGGCAAAGUGACAGGUGGUGCAUGGUUGUCGUCAGCUCGUGUCGUGAGAUGUUGGGUUAAGUCCCGCAACGAGCGCAACCCUUAUUGUUAGUUGCCAUCAUUCAGUUGGGCACUCUAGCAAGACUGCCGGUGACAAACCGGAGGGAAGGUGGGGAUGACGUCAAAUCAUCAUGCCCCUUAUGACCUGGGCUACCACGGUGCUACAAUGGGAAGUACAACGGAUUUCGGAAAUCCGGAGGCUAGGCUAAUUCCUUAAACAUUCUUCAAUUUGGAAUUGGC